rnacentral:rRNA from 1 species
AUGAACGCUAGCUACAGGCUUAACACAUGCAAGUCGAGGGGCAGCAUGGUCUUAGCUUGCUAAGACUGAUGGCGACCGGCGCACGGGUGAGUAACACGUAUCCAACCUGCCGUCUACUCUUGGACAGCCUUCUGAAAGGAAGAUUAAUACAAGAUGGCAUCAUGAGUCCACAUGUUCACAUGAUUAAAGGUAUUCCGGUAGACGAUGGGGAUGCGUUCCAUUAGAUAGUAGGCGGGGUAACGGCCCACCUAGUCUUCGAUGGAUAGGGGUUCUGAGAGGAAGGUCCCCCACAUUGGAACUGAAACACGGUCCAAACUCCUACGGGAGGCAGCAGUGAGGAAUAUUGGUCAAUGGGCGCAGGCCUGAACCAGCCAAGUAGCGUGAAGGAUGACUGCCCUAUGGGUUGUAAACUUCUUUUAUAAAGGAAUAAAGUCGGGUAUGCAUACCCGUUUGCAUGUACUUUAUGAAUAAGGAUCGGCUAACUCCGUGCCAGCAGCCGCGGUAAUACGGAGGAUCCGAGCGUUAUCCGGAUUUAUUGGGUUUAAAGGGAGCGUAGAUGGAUGUUUAAGUCAGUUGUGAAAGUUUGCGGCUCAACCGUAAAAUUGCAGUUGAUACUGGAUAUCUUGAGUGCAGUUGAGGCAGGCGGAAUUCGUGGUGUAGCGGUGAAAUGCUUAGAUAUCACGAAGAACUCCGAUUGCGAAGGCAGCCUGCUAAGCUGCAACUGACAUUGAGGCUCGAAAGUGUGGGUAUCAAACAGGAUUAGAUACCCUGGUAGUCCACACGGUAAACGAUGAAUACUCGCUGUUUGCGAUAUACAGCAAGCGGCCAAGCGAAAGCGUUAAGUAUUCCACCUGGGGAGUACGCCGGCAACGGUGAAACUCAAAGGAAUUGACGGGGGCCCGCACAAGCGGAGGAACAUGUGGUUUAAUUCGAUGAUACGCGAGGAACCUUACCCGGGCUUAAAUUGCAGAUGAAUUACGGUGAAAGCCGUAAGCCGCAAGGCAUCUGUGAAGGUGCUGCAUGGUUGUCGUCAGCUCGUGCCGUGAGGUGUCGGCUUAAGUGCCAUAACGAGCGCAACCCUUGUUGUCAGUUACUAACAGGUUCCGCUGAGGACUCUGACAAGACUGCCAUCGUAAGAUGUGAGGAAGGUGGGGAUGACGUCAAAUCAGCACGGCCCUUACGUCCGGGGCUACACACGUGUUACAAUGGGGGGUACAGAGGGCCGCUACCACGCGAGUGGAUGCCAAUCCCCAAAACCUCUCUCAGUUCGGACUGGAGUCUGCAACCCGACUCCACGAAGCUGGAUUCGCUAGUAAUCGCGCAUCAGCCACGGCGCGGUGAAUACGUUCCCGGGCCUUGUACACACCGCCCGUCAAGCCAUGGGAGCCGGGGGUACCUGAAGUGCGUAACCGCGAGGAGCGCCCUAGGGUAAAACUGGUGACUGGGGCU